rnacentral:lncRNA from 10 species
CAGCGUUCAUCCCCUCUAGAGAAUGCAGCAGGAAGGGUCCAUCUUGGAAGCUGAGACGGGACUCUCACCAGACACAGAGACUGCCAAUGCCUUGAUCUUGAACAUUCCAGCAUCCAGAACGGAUUCCCAGAGAGAAGGAAAGGGUGUCUUCACUAGGCUUCAUGGUAGCAAGCACAAUCACUGCAUAAGAAGUGCAGGGACAGCAGAGUGACCCUUCUGUGAACACAUCCAAUGACUGGAGUCCGGAGGCCUAUGGGCUGGAAGUGAGUGUGCCAACAACCAGAGCCCUGGGUAAGAAGGGAACUGCAUCGCAAGGAGGCCCAAUUAAACUGCAAUUACUCAAGAUAAGAAAACGAGGUCUGUUUACACAAUGGGGUUGUAAACCACCGGCUGUGACAAGAGAACUUUGAUCUGGUGGCAAGGGAGCUGUUUCUCAUGCAGGGCAGUGAUGAAACAAGGAGGUUUCCCAAUGAGGAUGUCUCCAUCUUCACCCCAGUAGCCCCAUCUUCUUCUGGUAGCACCCUUGCAUGGACAAGCGGAAAUCCUCACCCCUUCCCAGCCCCAGUAUCCACCUAACACAAUCAAAAAGUGAAGAAUAGAAAGAGAUGAGAUAGUGACUAAAAGGAAAAGAGAAUUGAUGGAGGUCAUCUUUGUGGAGGCGCUUGACAAGCAUGUUCUCACUGAACCGUCACAGUGACCUUCCACGUACCUUAUACCAUGCCUAUUUUACAGAUGAAGACACUGAGGUUCAGAGGAGAGCAGUGCCUCCCAAACUGUAAUGUGCAUAUGAAUCACCCGGGGAUCCUGUUACAAUGCAGUCUGCUGCAGUAGGUCUGAGGUCUGGCCAGACAUUCCACAUUUCUAACAAGCUCCCACGUGGUGCUGAUGCCGCAGGUCAGAGGACUUCACUGUGAGUAGCAAGGCAGCGCUGGACUAACUUGGUUGAACUCAUGAGUGAUUAUAACAAGGAACAACAGGUGAGCAAGACUCUCAACAGCAGCAGUGGCCACCCUGCAGCCCUUGUGCACAGCCCACGGCCCCUGAAGAAAAAGCGUUUUCUCUUUGGAUAAAAAUAGGCCACCAAACCCAAAACCACAACUGAUGAAAGAGUUAUAGUAUCAGUAAUUUUACAAAUCAAAUGGAGCUGAUGGAGUUAUCAUUUUAGAAUUGGUAUUUCCUGCUGUUUAACAAAUACUUUUUUCUCAGUUGCAUGGCAGUGGUCUAAAGUAAGAAGGAAAAUGGACUUGAGAUUAAAAACAAAAACUUACCCAAAAGGUGAUAAAGAAAUCCUGCAAUAGAAUGCAUUGAUUUCAGUGACCCAGCACCCUUUUAAGUUUGCCUGAAGAAAAUACUACUUUAAAAGUUGGUAACAGAGACCUUUAACGGUGGGUGAGGAGUCACAUACAAAGUGUCACGGCCAGAUAAAAUCACCGGAUGCAGAGGAAUUGCCAUCGACAUCUCCUGCCACUGAGUCCAGCUCUACCGUGGGGACAAGAAAUACCUCCCUAACUCUGAGACAACCGCGGCCCACACCCACACCAUGUCUCAACAACAGACUUAGGAACUUGUAGAUCUUUGGACAACUGCAGGUCAGUCCCAAGACAGAGAAAAACACCAAACAGGCUAGUUUGGCUAGCAAGAUUCAAACCUGUAGCAAUUUCCUCUCUAUUAAAAGCAAUUCAUUAAACUACUAGCAGGAGAAAAAAGUAAAACAAUAGAUUUACUAGGAGUGAAAGAGAAUAAAAAGAAAUUUAUAUAUUUAACUACAGCUUUAUUUCUUUGGAAGUGCUCCAAUUUGCAAAAAAAAAAAAAAAAAAUCAGGGUUUCUGACAAGUAAUCUACGGGUAUCUAAAACGUGCAUGGUUUUACUUUUGUGAAGCAGGGAACAUUUUUAAAAACAUAGUCUUGCUUUCAGACUAUUCUGACGAGGUUAGGAAGUAUUUUUGAAAAUUGUUAAACAAUUAAAUGGGAAUAUAGAAAGACGUGAAAAGAGAAAGAGAAAACUCACUUGUAUCCUGAAUCUCCCUACCGACUUACUCUUUAAUUCCACAGAAAUUUUUUUAAAGCAGGAAAAGGAAAAUGGACUGAAAAGUUUUAGGCAGAAACUGACACACACCUCACUUACUACUUUGCCGGAGAGCAGAUCCUGAGUGAGCUUCCCUCAAAGUCUGUGGUCUCUUUCCAACUACCUGCGGGAAUCCUCUGCUCCGUAGCUUAAGAGGAUGCAAAGACCAUAAUGUUUCUAAUAGAGCUGCCUCCUUAAAUUGGGGGGUGUGGUCAAGCCAGGGAAAGCUGGAAAAAAGGCAGUCUUCCUCUUGCCCCUGGCACCAGGACAGCAGCCACUGGCACAGGCACA